GUGGGGAAUAUUGGACAAUGGGCGCAAGCCUGAUCCAGCCAUGCCGCGUGAGUGAUGAAGGCCUUAGGGUUGUAAAGCUCUUUCGCCGGUGAAGAUAAUGACGGUAACCGGAAAAGAAGCCCCGGCUAACUUCGUGCCAGCAGCCGCGGUAAUACGAAGGGGGCUAGCGUUGUUCGGAUUUACUGGGCGUAAAGCGCACGUAGGCGGAUAAAUAAGUUAGAGGUGAAAUCCCAGGGCUCAACCCUGGAACUGCCUUUAAUACUGUUUAUCUAGAGUAUGGAAGAGGUAAGUGGAAUUCCGAGUGUAGAGGUGGAAUUCGUAGAUAUUCGGAGGAACAUCAGUGGCGAAGGCGGCUUACUGGUCCAUUACUGACGCUGAGGUGCGAAAGCGUGGGGAGCAAACAGGAUUAGAUACCCUUGUAGUCC
rnacentral:rRNA from 1 species